AAAACAAAAUGACAAACCGGAUAGCCUUAGCGACUAGACGGGAAAUAGCCGAAGUAUGGGGAUCGCCAAACACCCCCACACUGCAAACGAUCAUACGCAAAACCAAGGAAGCAAUACACAUGGAUAGGUUAUCAGCCAUAAUUCAUGAGACCUCUAAACACUUCCACAGAAUCUGGGACCCCUGGUUAUCUGAUCCCCACCUACAAUAAGGGCACACGGACAGCCUCCACCUCACACACCAGGCCCGCUAUUCCAACAUAGCGAUCAAAAUACCAACGCACGGAAAUUCACAGUACAAAUAUUACACCAAAUCG